AUGGAGGUUGUGGCGACGGCGGCGGCCACCUCUUUCGUGGAGUGGAUGGUGCCGAAGCUCUUUGAUUUCUUAGAUAAAAAUCACGAGCUUCGGAAGAACCUGGAGCGUGACAUCAAGUUCAUCCAGAACGAGUUUGCCAUGAUUUCUGCGGUCAUCCAGGAUGAGCAAAAAGUUCGCCAUGACGGUGGCGAAGAGGUGCAUAAGGAGUGGAUCAAGAUGGUACGUGAGGUGGCGCACGCCAUCGAAGACUGCAUCGACCGCUUCAUGCACCGCGUGAGGAUGCCGGAGACAGGCGCCGGGUGGCUCCGUCACGCUGUCCACAGGGUGAAGACGGUGAAGGCUCGUAACGAGUUCGCCGUGGCCAUCCAGGAGCUCAAGAAGAUAUCAGAGGAUGCGUCUAAGCUAAAAGUAACAUACAGUAGCAGCAUCACCUCUUCACCAGGGCGGUCGAUGUUGUCUGAGCAGACAGAGACGGCAAUGACCAAAGAAGACGACGGCGACGAUGACCAUUCAGCAGCAUCCGGACCUGUGCCCGUGGGUAUGGGCGGUCCACGAAACGAGCUUCUGGAUAUGAUCCAGCAGCAGCAGCAGCUCAAGGUGAUCACCAUUGUUGGGUUCCACGGUAUGGGCAAGACACUCCUCGCCAAUCAUGUGUACAAGGCAGUUGAGAGCCAAUAUGAAGCUCGGGUUUGGGUCCCUCCAGCAAAACUAGAGGGAAGAGCCACUGAUGUUCUCAAGGAGAUACUCCGACAACUUGGCCAAUGCGUCGACGGCCGUCUCACCAAGCUUCAAGCCAGCGUCAAAGAGUGCAUUGGGACCAAGAGGUUCUUCAUUGUAAUUGAUGACUUGCGGAAACCAGGAUAUUGGCACGAUGUAAAAGUGGCCUUUGCGGGGUUAAGCGGCAGAUUUCUGGUGACGACAGCCAUUCAGCGCGUAGCAAAUACCUGCAGCAGCUCAAUUGUUCAUGAUCAUGUGUACACAAUGGCAACUCUUGCCGAUGAACACUCAAGACUAUUGUUCUUUAAUGAAGCUUUCCAAGACGAUGAUCUACCGCCGAAUGCGGAGGAGCUUGGCUCCGCAGCGCUCAAGAAAUGUGAUGGUCUUCCACUUGCUCUUGUUACCACUGCCAGGUUCUUGCAAAGCGCAGGUAAUCCAACAACCAUAAAAUGGGCAAAGUUAUGCGCCGAUAUGGGUACAAAUCUGGAGAGUGAUGAGCUAUUUGAAAGAAUGAGGCGUGUGCUUGUCCAGAGCUACACCAGCCUUGAUACCCAGGUUGCCAGGACAUUCUUGCUCUAUUUGAGUACCUACCCAAGUGGUCGCCCUAUCAGGAAAUCGAGCCUGUUAAGGAGAUGGUUAGCAGAAGGGUUAUGCCCGGGAGACAAUGCACGCACUGCACUCGAUACUGCUAUUAACAAUUUCAAUAAGCUUGUCGACCGGAGUAUCAUCCAGCCUAUGGAUGCCAGUGGUAGAAGCACAGAGGUGAAAACAUGCCAUACCCAUGGCAUGAUGCUGGAGUUUGUCCUGCGCAAGUCAAUGGCCGAAAACUUUGUCACCGUGUUGUAUGAUCAACAAUCUACCCCACACCUACCCAGUAACAUCCGCCGACUUGCUCUGCAUGGUGCAAGGCCCAGUGAAGUGCAAGGUUUAACUCUUGUCCGGUCACUGACAAUCUUGGGAAAGGCACACCGAUCUGUCCUGGAUUUCUCAAAGUACCAGCUGCUGCGAGUUUUGGAUCUGGAAGAGUGUGUUGAACCCUUGAGGGAUAGCCAUCUCAAGUUGAUAUGCAGAAAACUGUUCUUGCUGAGGUACCUAUGCCUCGGGAAAGCUGUUAUUGCGAUGGCGCUUCCAAAGGAGAUCAGCAAGCUUCGAUUAUUGGAUACAUUGGAUGUGAGAAAUACACCGAUAGAGAUUCUGCAAGCACAUGUCCUGGAGCUGCCAUGUCUAGUUCAUCUCUUUGGGAGGUUCAAGCUCAAGCAAGAUGUAGGAGACCGGAGAAUGAGUAAGCUACAGACUUGGUUGUCAGUGAAGAGCAAAUUGGAAACACUGGCAGGAUUUGUUGUGGACAACAGAAAGAGCCAAGAGUUUGCACAGCUCAUGUACAAUAUGAAUGCUUUGACAAAGGUGAAAAUAUGGUGCGAGCCUACGGCCGACACCAGCUGCUCAAGUCAUCUCUCAAAGGCCAUCAAGGGGUUCAUUGAGAGAAGCAGCGUGUUCAGAGGGACCCCUUCACUCUCACUCAGUUUUGAAGGCGAGUUGACCCAAGACAUGCUGAAUUUCUCUCUGGAGAAAGUAAAUAAUAAUUGCUGCUAUCUUGGCUCGCUCAAGCUGCAAGGAAGCAAGAUAUGCAGCCUGCCCUCCUUUGUUGCCUUUCUGGGUGGUCUCACUAAGCUAGGCCUUUCUUCCCCUCAGCUGAGCCUGAGCGAAGACUUCCUUGCUGCCCUGAGCAAAGUGCCCGGCCUGGCGCACCUGAAGCUGGUUGCAACUAUCCUGGGCAAGCUCGUCAUCACAGAAGGUAUGCUGAAGAGGCUGUCACGCCUAUCCAUGGUGGUGGAAUCCACGAUUGAUCAGCUGGAAAUCAAAGAGGGAGCUCUACCGUGCCUCAAAUCGCUGCAGCUGCUAUGCAAAUAUCUAGAUGGCUUUUCGGGCAUAUCGCCGAUCAAGUACAUUAAAAAUGUUGAGGAGAUUGCUCUUCAUCAUGAGGUGAGUGAUGAAACGAAACAUGAGUGGACAGAAGCUGCAAAGAAGCUCCCAAAUCCACGUCCCAAGAUCUUGUUUCUCUAG
rnacentral:rRNA from 1 species